AUUGAACGCUGGCGGCAGGCCUAACACAUGCAAGUCGAGCGAGCGGCGGACGGGUGAGUAAUGUCUGGGAAACUGCCUGAUGGAGGGGGAUAACUACUGGAAACGGUAGCUAAUACCGCAUACCAUCAGAUGUGCCCAGAUGGGAUUAGCUAGUAGGUGGGGUAACGCCUCACCUAGGCGACGAUCCCUAGCUGGUCUGAGAGGAUGACAAGCCACAAUGGAACUGGGACAGGGUCCAGACUCCUAGGGGAGGCAGCAGUGGGGAAUAUUGCACAAUGGGCGAAAGCAUGAGGCAGACAUGCCGCGGGUGUGAAGAAGGCUUUGGGGUUGUAAAGCAGUUUCAGCGGGGAGGCGUGACCCGCAGAAGAAGCACGGGCUAACUCCGUGCCAGCAGCCGCGUUAAAC
rnacentral:rRNA from 1 species